rnacentral:rRNA from 1 species
CAGCAGCCGCGGUAAUACGUAGGGUGCAAGCGUUAAUCAGAAUUACUGGGCGUAAAGCGUGCGCAGGCGGUUAUAUAAGUCAGAUGUGAAAUCCCCGGGCUCAACCUGGGAACUGCAUUUGAGACUGUAUGGCUAGAGUGUGUCAGAGGGGGGUAGAAUUCCACGUGUAGCAGUGAAAUGCGUAGAUAUGUGGAGGAAUACCGAUGGCGAAGGCAGCCCCCUGGGAUAACACUGACGCUCAUGCACGAAAGCGUGGGGAGCAAACAGGAUUAGAUACCCGAGUAGUCCCUGUCUCUUAUAC